rnacentral:rRNA from 1 species
AUUGAACGCUGGCGGCAUGCUUUACACAUGCAAGUCGAACGGUAACAGGCCGCAAGGUGCUGACGAGUGGCGAACGGGUGAGUAAUGCAUCGGAACGUGCCCAGUCGUGGGGGAUAACUACUCGAAAGAGUAGCUAAUACCGCAUACGAUCUAUGGAUGACAGCGGGGGACCGUAGGGCCUCGCGCGAUUGGAGCGGCCGAUGUCAGAUUAGGUAGUUGGUGGGGUAAAGGCUCACCAAGCCAACGAUCUGUAGCUGGUCUGAGAGGACGACCAGCCACACUGGGACUGAGACACGGCCCAGACUCCUACGGGAGGCAGCAGUGGGGAAUUUUGGACAAUGGGCGCAAGCCUGAUCCAGCAAUGCCGCGUGCAGGAAGAAGGCCUUCGGGUUGUAAACUGCUUUUGUACGGAACGAAACGGCUCUGGUUAAUACCCGGGGCUAAUGACGGUACCGUAAGAAUAAGCACCGGCUAACUACGUG